UGGCUCAAAGUCAGGCGCUCUAGGAUUGGUCUGCGGCCUAUCAGGUAGUAGUGGGUGUAACGGACCCACUAGCCGAUGACGGGUAUGGGCCUUGAGAGAGGGAGCCCAGAGAUGGAUUCUGAGACACGAAUCCAGGCCCUACGGGGCGCAGCAGUCGCGAAAACUUCACAAUGGAGGCAACUCCGAUGAGGGAAUUCCUAGUGCCAAUGCAUUUUGUGUUGGCUUUUCUUCAGCGUAGAUAACUGAUGGAAUAAGGGCUGGGUAAGACGGGUGCCAGCCGCCGCGGUAAUACCCGCAGCCCAAGUGGUGGUCGAUAUUAUUGAGUCUAAAACGUUCGUAGCCGGUUCAAUAAAUCUCUGGGUAAAUCGGAGGGCUCAACCUUCCGAAUUCCGGAGCGACUGUUGAACUUGGGACCGGGAGAGGCAAGAGGUACUUCUGGGGUAGGGGUAAAAUCCUGUAAUCCUAGAAGGACCACCGGUGGCGAAGGCGUCUUGCUAGAACGGAUCCGACGGUGAGGGACGAAGCCCUGGGUCGCAAACGGGAUUAGAUACCCCGGUAGUCCAGGGUGUAAACGCUGCAGACUUGGUGUUGGGAACCCUUC
rnacentral:rRNA from 1 species